GUCGAUGAAUUUUUUAGCUUUACUUUUACGAUUGAGAUAUUGCUUGGAUAUUGUGGCACAUAUUAAUGUCAUCAACAAACAUCUCAUGAUUCUUAUGUAUGGUUGUAGAAACAAUUUACUCUUUCUUUUCCUCUAUCAGUGAGAGCUUGCUGGGUUGUCCAUGGAUUGUUUUAUACUCUGUACAGUUAUUUUAAUUUUUACUUGACCGACCACCCAUCACAUAUAAGUAAUAUUGUGUAAAAUUCAUUUUACGAGUAGUAAAAUCGGUCAUAUUAAAACGCAGUCAUUACACCAAUUGUUUUCUGUUUGCACUUGGUGGACUGAAUGGUUAUUCUCUUGGAAGUUCCUUUAUCAGAUUUCAUUAUGAAUCUAUUGCAUCUGACUUUUAACUCAAUAAACUGUAGCAUAAUUGUUAAUGUUAUUAUGGUCCUCAUUGAUUUUAAUAAGAUAGACCAAGUGUUCUCUAUCAGCCUCAGAACAUAAGAUAUAGUAUGACGUCAUUUAUCUUAUCAUUUUACAUGGAAGAACUUUCUUGCAAAUGUUUUCUAAAUGAGAAAACAUUACCAUAAGGCAUAAGAUCUAGAAUUAGACUAGGCCUGUAAAAUAUUUUCAUCUUCCAGAGGGAGCAACUACAUCUGUUGAUUAACAUCUUCAUUCUGUCUUUAUUUUACAGGCUGAUGCAGAUAAAGAUGGACGUCUCACCUUGGUAGAAAUGAUCGAUCAUCCUUACGUAUUUUACAGUGCCAUUUUCAACGAAGAUGAUGAGGACGAUUAUGAUUUCCACGAUGAGUUUCGUUAAGUUUUUUCAUGAAUAGUCGAAUAGUCAGAUAGGAUUAGCAGUCGAGAAAACGGAGUUCUUUCGCAGCAUGGAAUCGGGAUACAGAGUUUGAAGUCUUAGGCAACAACUUGGAGGAGAUCUCUCUGGCAUGGUGGUCAGAACUGGGUUAAACUUCUUCAGCCAUGGCUCGCCCAUAUGGUGGUAUCCCUCUUUUUGUAGCAUAUGAAACCCCCAUCUUGUCUAAGAUAACAAUGGUUUCACACCUUAGAUUAUAGACAUUUAUUUGCAAAUAGUUUUGUUAAGUUCAAUGUCCUUGGUAUAGAAUUACCAUUUAAUUGUUAUUUGUUACUAA